AGCAGCCGCGGUAAUUCCAGCUCCAAUAGCGUAUAUUAAAGUUGUUGCAGUUAAAAAGCUCGUAGUUGAAUUUCGGGAUUGGCGCAUCGGUCGUGCCUCACGGGGUAUGAACUGGUGCAGUCAAUUUCUCACCUUCUGGAGAACCGCGAUGUCCUUAAUUGGAUGCCGCGGGGAACCAGGACCUUUACUUUAGAAAAAAUUAGAGUGUUUAAAGCAGGCAUUUUUGCUUGAAUACAUUAGCAUGGAAUAAUAAAAUAGGACGGCAUGGUUCUAUUUUGUUGGUUUCUAGGACCACCGUAAUGAUUAAUAGGGAUAGUUGGGGGCAUUAGUAUUCAAUUGUCAGAGGUGAAAUUCUUGGAUUUAUUGAAGACUAACUACUGCGAAAGCAUUUGCCAAGGAUGUUUUCAUUAAUCAAGAACGAAAGUUAGGGGAUCGAAGACGAUCAGAUAC
rnacentral:rRNA from 1 species